rnacentral:rRNA from 1 species
AUUGAACGCUGGCGGCAUGCUUUACACAUGCAAGUCGAACGGCAGCGCGGGCUUCGGCCUGGCGGCGAGUGGCGAACGGGUGAGUAAUGCAUCGGAACGUGCCCAGUAGUGGGGGAUAGCCCGGCGAAAGCCGGAUUAAUACCGCAUACGACCUGAGGGUGAAAGCGGGGGACCGAAAGGCCUCGCGCUAUUGGAGCGGCCGAUGUCGGAUUAGCUAGUUGGUGGGGUAAAGGCUUACCAAGGCGACGAUCCGUAGCUGGUCUGAGAGGACGACCAGCCACACGGGGACGGAGACACGCCCCGGACCCCAACGGGGGGCAGCAUGGGGAAAUUUGGGACAAGGGGGGAAACCUGGACCCAGCCAGGCCGCGGGCGGAAGAAAGGCCUUGGGGUGGAAAACGGCUUUUGUUGGGGAAAAAUCCUUCUGGACAAAAACCCCGGGGGAUGACGGUACCGGAAGAAUAAGCACCGGCUAACUACGUG